GUGCUCUUGAGGAGGUUUUUUGGCUCUAGGCAACUUGUUUACGGGAGGUUUACACAUUACAACAUUUGGUCCGAUUUGGCUGCCCACCUGAUGACAGAAAUCUCAGUGAUCUAGCAGGAUACACCCCUCAGCUCUCCAAAAUGUUCGGCUCCACUCAGUGCCAAAUGUCAUGCAUUUCGCUGUGACAACUUCAGUGAAAACAUUCUUUCUGGUGUGAGCAGACAACUCGUAUCAGAUCUCCGAUCCAACCAGAGGAUCAAUCGUUCUCAAACAAGCAGUCUGAUCAAAGAUUCAGUCGUUCCUGGCAUUAAGUUCAGUCAAAGUCGCGUCACUUUUGAGAGAGUUAACAUUCCUGCAGGCACCUCUGAGGGUUCCCAGGAGAACCCAGGCGAGCAAACGUGGUGAAGCCAUCUCCAUGAACCUCCAAUGUUCGGGCUGCAGAGGUGCAUGUUACUGCCCCACCAUGGAAAAGCUACACACUUAAAAUGCAUCUAGCGUGACCGUGCCAAAUGAGUGAGCUACUACACCUGAAAUCUGCACCUCUGCCAUUUAUGUCUGGAGUGUCUGAAUGAUGGGCAUUGGGCAUCAAUUAAAUGAACCCUUUCAGAAGUUAGACUAAUAAGAUAUAACAUUAUUAUUAUUAUUAUUAUUAUUACUUAACUUAUUAUUAUGCUUUAGGCAUCUAAUCAGUGCAACUUGGUGUCUCUGUACAUGCAUUACUGUGAAAGCGUUCUGGGUAAAAAUGCUUCCAUCAGCACUGCUCCCAUUAAUCAACAGUUCACUCUCACUUCUUCUCUAUUGUCUCACCAUCUUCAACAAAUGUAAAGUUCUGAUUCUUGCAUCAGUUCAUUCGCGAGAGAUCAACUUUUUAAAAAAUAUUAUCCCCUAACAUAUAGAGACCACCUGUGAUAAAGGGGAAUACCCGUUUGCUGUGAACCACUGGAGAUUUCUGGAAGUCCUGCCAGUUCCUAAUGCCUGACCAGAAUGCUAACGGUGGGUGUCUUUGCGUACUGGCAGGCCCAUUUUGCAGAUCCUUAACAGUGCUAACAUAUUCAAAGCUAAACUUUUGAGUUGGUCUGGAGGACUGGGAGAGAAGGGGACCCCCAUUAAGAACAGAGAUCUCAUACUUGGUGGUGAGGAGAGAGGGGAGCAAUUAAAAUGCAUCUAGCGUGACCGUGCCAAAUUAAGCCCCUUCAAAAAGAGGAGAAAGGGAAAAGUCUGCUUGUUUUUUGAAGGCUGGCGACACAGAUGAGAGGCAAUGAAUUGCUAGUUCUUUAUUUCUUUCCUUGUCAUGUGUUUGUCUAUAUUCAGUGGAAAUAAGGAAAGCGGAGUUUAAAGAUAUCAGUUUAAAAGUGUUCGCACCAGUCCAUACAAGGAGCUUGUUUCACUUGGUUAAAAGUUCACAUUUUAUUUUACAAAUAAAAAAGAACAAAGGGGGCUAUUAAGCCAAUCAGUCGUCAUGAUCAGAGAACGUUGGUUCAUUAUCAGAGAACGCACGCCAUUUAAUGCCUCUGGCCGCUACACCAUUACUCAGUGUCUGUCACAGCAACAUUAUACUCGACGGGGGGAAAUGUCUUUUUCCAAGAAGCAGCUUUUGGUUUUUUUAUUUGAUAUUUUAACCAUUUCACAUCUGCUCAUAAACAGAUAGCACAUUCACUGAAGAGUCAGUCCUCUUCCCAGGAUCCCGACGGUCCAGGUCUGGUCUCCUCUUCCCAGGAUCACGAUGGUCCAGGUCUGGUCUCCUCGAGUCAGAAUGCCAAGCAGGUCCUCUCAAAGGGAGCUGUUCUGCUCACGUGCAAACCUCAAGGAGACAGCAGAGCUAAUAACACACAUAUCUAACCCCUUUCUAUCUUCCAACAGAAGUAACAGAUUAUGAAAAAGGGAAUCAGGUUUAUUUCUGCAAAUCUUUUAAAUGACAAUAAUCUGACUUUGCCCUUGUACAAUUGUUUUCCCAUAUUACAACAUUUGUCUGAGAAUUAGGACGAAAGCAGAGUUCCAGAACCUUCCGCACAAUUAACUAUAAUCAUUAGCUCAAAUUUAAAGUAAUUAUCAACAACGUUGCUCCUGCUCACAUCUCUAAAUGAAUAAUGUGUACAGGGAAUUCAUCAAGUAGGCCAUGGAUUUGGGUUCUUGUUUGUGCUGUAAUAUUAGAGCGUUCUGACAUCAUUCACCCUGUUCCGCCGUCCAGUCAGGUUCAAAGUGAUUCUCUUCAAGAAUGUCCUAAAGUUAAUGAAUUAAUUAAGAAUGCCUUAUUAAUAAAUGAA